GUUCUCUCUCUUCUCUGUUUUUCUCGAAGCUUUCAGUAAAAUGUCGACGGCGGGUGAUGGGACGGCGGCGUCAGCGUCGGCGGGAGCAUAUGAAGGAGGAGGAGGAGCCGGAGGGAAGUUUAGGAAGAGACCGUUACGACGGAACCAGACGACUCCGUAUGAUCGUCCACCGACGGCUCUCCGGAACCCUAGUUGGCUGACAAAGCUUGUGGUUGAUCCGGCGUCAAAGCUCAUAACUUCCGGUGCUCACCGCUUCUUUUCCUCCAUAUUCAGUAAACGCCUUCCUCCUCCUCCU
rnacentral:misc_RNA from 1 species